rnacentral:rRNA from 1 species
GAUGAACGCUGGCGGCGUGCCUAAUACAUGCAAGUCGAGCGAACAGACGAGAGCUUGCUCCUCUGACGUUAGCGGCGGACGGGUGAGUAACACGUGGAUAACCUACCUAUAAGACUGGGAUAACUUCGGGAAACCGGAGCUAAUACCGGAUAAUAUAUUGAACCGCAUGGUUCAAUAGUGAAAGACGGUUUUGCUGUCACUUAUAGAUGGAUCCGCGCCGCAUUAGCUAGUUGGUAAGGUAACGGCUUACCAAGGCAACGAUGCGUAGCCGACCUGAGAGGGUGAUCGGCCACACUGGAACUGAGACACGGUCCAGACUCCUACGGGAGGCAGCAGUAGGGAAUCUUCCGCAAUGGGCGAAAGCCUGACGGAGCAACGCCGCGUGAGUGAUGAAGGUCUUCGGAUCGUAAAACUCUGUUAUUAGGGAAGAACAAAUGUGUAAGUAACUAUGCACGUCUUGACGGUACCUAAUCAGAAAGCCACGGCUAACUACGUG